rfam:Oryza sativa Japonica Group DNA, chromosome 5, cultivar: Nipponbare, complete sequence.
AAAAAGUCAAACUUUGGAUUUCCGUGUCCAAUUUUAACUGUCCGUCUUAUAUGAAAUUUUUUUAUAAUUUGCAUUUUCAUUGUUGUUAGAUGAUAAGACAUGAUUAAUAUUUUAUACGUGACUUGUCUUUUUAAUUUUUCAUAUUUUUUUUAAAUAAGACGGACGGUCAAACGUUAGACAUGAAAAUCAAGGUUUGUCUUUUUC